rnacentral:rRNA from 1 species
GUAGACUCAUAAGGGCGUAUGGUGGAUGCCUUGACUCAAACGAGCGAUGAAGGACGUAGCGGGUUGCGAUAAGCCUCGGGGAGCUGCCGAGCAAGCUUUGAUCCGGGGAUUUCCGAAUGCGGCAACGCAUCUCGAUUUAUAUCGGGAUAUCGUUAACUGAAUUCAUAGGUUAACGAAGCGCACCCAGGGAACUGAAACAUCUUAGUACCUGGAGGAAAAUACAUAAACUAGAUUCCGUGAGUAGUGGCGAGCGAAAGCGGAGAAGCCUAAACCCCGACACUUGUGUCGGGGGGUUGCGAGACAUUAACGUCCUAUCUUGUGAAAUGUCGGAUAUAGUUGCCGGCUUUUCACUUGACGGGAGUGAAGUUACAAAUUGUUUUGUUAGCCGAACAUCUCUGGAAAGAGAGACCAAAGAGGGUAAUAGUCCCGUAGGCGAAAACGAAACAACUUUAUUGUUAUUGUUCUCAAGUAAGGCGGGACCGGAGAAAUCCCGUCUGAAGCUGGGAGCACUAAACUUCCAAGGCUAAAUAUCGUUUGAGAUCGAUAGUGAACUAGUACCGUGAGGGAAAGGUGAAAAGCACCCCGUUGAGGGGAGUGAAAUAGAACUGAAACCAUACGCUUACGUAGAGUAGGAGCUCCGACAUGACGUCGGGGUGACUGCGUGCUUUUUGUAGAACGAGCCAACGAGUUAAUUCUAUGCGGCAAGUUUAAGCAGUUCAAAACUGUGUAAACAUAGUGAAAGCGAGUUUUAAUGGACGAAAUAAGUCGCAUGGAUUAGACCCGAAGCCGGGCGAGCUACGCAUGAGCAGGGUGAACCCCGAGUAACAUCGGGGGGAGGCCCGCACCCACGCGCCGUACAACACGCGGGGAUGACUUGUGUGUAGAGGAGAAAUUCCAAUCGAGCUCGGCCAUAGCUGGUUCUUCCCGAAAUAGCUUGAGGGCUAGCGUCGGGGAACAUAAUCGCGGGAGGUAGAGCUACUGAAUGAGAGAUCGUGGAGCAAUCCUAGGUCUCUCAACCAAACUCCGAAUGCCCGUCGAUUUUAUCCCGGCAGUCAGAGUAUGAGGGCUAAGCUUCAUGCUCAAAAAGGAAACAGCCUAGACCGCCGUCUAAGGUCCCUAAAUCUAUGUUAAGUGGUAAAGGAGGUGAGAUCUCCUAGACACCUAGGAGGUUGGCUUAGAAGCAGCCAUCCUUUAAAGAGUGCGUAACAGCUCACUAGUCUAGAGAUUUCGCGCCGAAAAUUCAACGGGGCUCAAACAUAGUACCGAAGACGCGGGCUCCGACGUUAAGUCGGAGCGGUAGGGAAGUGUCCUCAUCUGCUGCGAAGCUCCGAUGUGAGUCGGAGUGGAGCGAUGAGGAGUAAGAAUGUUGGCAUGAGUAACCGCAAUUGGGGUGAGAACCUCCAACGCCGAAAGUCCAAGGUUUCCUGGGCAAUGUCGAUCAACCCAGGGUUAGGCGAUCCUAAGGCGAGGCCGAAAGGCGUAGUCGAUGGACAGCCGGUUAAUAUUCCGGCCCCGCAAUAUUAUUCGACGGAGUGACGUAUUCUAGUAGUCUCUGCCCCUUAUUGGAUUGGGGUAGGUGUGUUGAGGGCGUUCUCUUGGCAAAUCCGGAGAGCACAACCCAAGGCACAACUGGAAGUCCGAUUUAUCGGGCGAACGGAGAUGAGCAGGGUACCGGGAAAAACUUCUAAGUUCAAAAUAAUAUUGCGUCCGUACUUAAAACCGACACAGGUGGACUGGGCGAGUAGCCUAAGGCGAACGGGAGAACCCUCGUUAAGGAACUCGGCAAAACAACUAGACGUAACUUAGGGAGAUGUCUUUCCCCGAUGAAUAAUCGGGGGUGCAAUUAAAGAUUCCAAGCGACUGUUUAUCAAAAACACAGGUCUCCGCAAACCCGUAAGGGGAAGUAUGGGGGCUGACGCCUGACCAGUGCUGGAACGUUAACGGGAGCGGUGCAAGCCAAUCCCCGAAGCGCCAGUGAACGUCAGCGANNNNNNNNNNNNNNNNNNNNNNNNNNNNCGUUCUAAGGUAGCGAAAUUCCUUGUCGGGUAGAUUAUCGGAACUGCCCGAGUAUUGUAGCAAUGCAAUACAAGCAAACUGGCUAAUAACGGUGAAGGCUAAGAUUCGAGAGAAUUAUGCUAAUACCGUGGGAAUCUGUUAUAAUUUCAACAGAACCCGUAACGACUGAAGCGAAAGCUAAGAUCCCGAAAAAAACGGGAUAAUACGCCAGCGCUUAUCAAAUAAAAGAAACAUAUGGAUUUUGCAAUGUACAUUUCCGGUUUUGUAGAUGGAGAAGGAUGUUUUUGCAUUUCUUUCAACUUCAGAGAGAAACUGAAAACAAAAAUCGAAGUGCGUCCGAGUUUCGCUGUUAGUCAAAAUAAGCGAAAUUUAGAUGUAUUGAAAAAGAUUCGAGAUUAUUUUGGGUGCGGAAAUAUCCGUUUUUCCAAAAAUGAUCAGAAUUAUAAAUUUGAAGUGAGGAAUAUUUCGGAAUUGAGAAGAAAAAUUAUUCCCCAUUUUAAAUCCUAUCCAUUACAGACUACAAAGAGAGCUGAUUUUCAAAUUUUUGAGGAAAUCUGUGAUCUUGUAGCUCGGACAAAACACAGAAAUCCAAUUUAUUUGAAGCAAAUCAUUGAUUUUGCCUAUCAAAUGAACAUUUCUGGAAAAAGGAGAUACAAAAAAGCAGAACUCCUAAGUGUUUUAGAUAAGAUGAAGAUAUAGUCUGAUUUUUCGCGAAAGCGAUCAAACGUGAAUGAAGUUCCGACCCGCAUUAAAGGCGUAACGACUUGGAAACUGUCUCAACGAGGGACCCGGUGAAAUCGCAAUGGCAGUGAAGAUGCUGCCGACCUACGGCAAGACGAAAAGACCCCGUGGAGCUUUACUAUAACUUGGUAUUGGGUUGUGAUUUUAGCUGCCUAGCAUAGGUGGGAGGCUUUGAAACCUCGCUUUCGGGCGAG